rnacentral:sRNA from 1 species
GCAAGGGGCUCACAACCCAGGUACAAGCAGGUCAACCCAGGCACUGGCACUGAAAACUUCUGCCACCUGCCUAGGGGCCUCCACCCUGGCCAGGAGAGACCAUCUCUAGGGCUGAGGAGGAGAGCAAUUUCCUCGGUCCAUUUGGUCUUUGACUCCU